UUAUUUUAUGUAUUUUUUUCUGAAGAUUUAGUAGUAUUCUAAUUUAGAUAAUCGAUCAUGGAUUUUUGCCAGAAUGAGCUACAAGCUCCGGUUAAGGUUAAAGGUAUUUAGAGUCAUGAAGUUCAGGGAAGGGAAUACAGUGGAGGUGUUGAGAACAAAACUGGACCCAUGUGGCUCUUGGUUUACUGG